rnacentral:rRNA from 1 species
UGCAAGUCGAGCGGUAGAGAGAAGCUUGCUUCUCUUGAGAGCGGCGGACGGGUGAGUAAUGCCUAGGAAUCUGCCUGGUAGUGGGGGAUAACGUUCGGAAACGGACGCUAAUACCGCAUACGUCCUACGGGAGAAAGCAGGGGACCUUCGGGCCUUGCGCUAUCAGAUGAGCCUAGGUCGGAUUAGCUAGUUGGUGAGGUAAUGGCUCACCAAGGCUACGAUCCGUAACUGGUCUGAGAGGAUGAUCAGUCACACUGGAACUGAGACACGGUCCAGACUCCUACGGGAGGCAGCAGUGGGGAAUAUUGGACAAUGGGCGAAAGCCUGAUCCAGCCAUGCCGCGUGUGUGAAGAAGGUCUUCGGAUUGUAAAGCACUUUAAGUUGGGAGGAAGGGCAUUAACCUAAUACGUUAGUGUUUUGACGUUACCGACAGAAUAAGCACCGGCUAACUCUGUGCCAGCAGCCGCGGUAAUACAGAGGGUGCAAGCGUUAAUCGGAAUUACUGGGCGUAAAGCGCGCGUAGGUGGUUUGUUAAGUUGGAUGUGAAAUCCCCGGGCUCAACCUGGGAACUGCAUUCAAAACUGACUGACUAGAGUAUGGUAGAGGGUGGUGGAAUUUCCUGUGUAGCGGUGAAAUGCGUAGAUAUAGGAAGGAACACCAGUGGCGAAGGCGACCACCUGGACUAAUACUGACACUGAGGUGCGAAAGCGUGGGGAGCAAACAGGAUUAGAUACCCUGGUAGUCCACGCCGUAAACGAUGUCAACUAGCCGUUGGAAGCCUUGAGCUUUUAGUGGCGCAGCUAACGCAUUAAGUUGACCGCCUGGGGAGUACGGCCGCAAGGUUAAAACUCAAAUG